UCUGAGGGCCAUCUUCAGAUAGCCAUGCAGCACCUGUGCUAGCCCCUUGCGGACACGGGCUUUCACCCGCUUUAACUAGCAUGUCAAACCCAGGUAAGGUUCUUCGCGUUGCAUCGAAUUAAGCCACAUGCUCCGCCGCUUGUGCGGGUCCCCGUCAAUUCCUUUGAGUUUUAGCCUUGCGGCCGUACUCCCCAGGCGGAGUGCUUAAUGCGUUAGCUGCGGCACAGAAAGGGUUGAAGACCUCCCCACACCUAGCACUCAACGUUUACGGCUGGGACUAC
rnacentral:misc_RNA from 1 species